CAGCAGCCACGGGAAAACGGAGGGUGCUAGCGUUGUUCGGAAUCACUGGGCGUAAAGGGCGCGUAGGCGGCCUGUUAAGUCGGAUGUGAAAGCCCGGGGCUCAACCCCGGAACUGCAUCCGAGACUGGCAGGCUUGAGACCGGGAGAGGAGGGUGGAAUAUCCAGUGUAGAGGUGAAAUUCGUAGAUAUUGGAUGGAACACCAGUGGCGAAGGCGGCUAACUGGUCCAUAACUGACGCUGAGGUGCGAAAGCGUGGGGAGCAAACAGGAUUAGAUACCCCAGUAGUCCCUGUCUCUUAUAC
rnacentral:rRNA from 1 species